rnacentral:rRNA from 1 species
AUUGAACGCUGGCGGCAUGCUUUACACAUGCAAGUCGAACGGCAGCGCGGGCUUCGGCCUGGCGGCGAGUGGCGAACGGGUGAGUAAUGCAUCGGUACGUGCCCAGUAGUGGGGGAUAGCACGGCGAAAGCAGGCUUAAUACAGCAUACGACCUGAGGGUGAACGCGGGGGUCCGAAAGGCCUCGAGCUAUUGGAGCGGCCGAUGUCGGAUUAGCUAGUUGGUGGGGUAAAGGCUUACCAAGGCGACGAUCCGUAGCUGGUCUGAGAGGACGACCAGCCACACUGGAACUGAGACACGGCCCAGACUCCUACGGGAGGCAGCAGUAGGGAAUUUUGGACAAUGGGGGAAACCCUGAUCCAGCCAUGCCGCGUGCGUGAAGAAGGUCUUCGGGUUGUAAACCGCUGUUGUUAGGGAAGAAAUCCUGUGGGCUAAUACCCCGGGGGGAUGACGGUACCGGAAGAAUAAGCACCGGCUAACUACGUG